ensembl:processed_transcript
UCACCACUCAGAUUGAUCAUCAAGAUCUCAAUUAUAAGCUUAAGUCUUGAUGACAACUUGAUGAUCUGCAGGAAAAACCACCAUGUAAGGAAGGCCAAGACCACUCUGGAAUCAGUCAAGGCUCAUAGGAACUCCAAUCUUCCCAACUGUGAGGGAGCCUUGCUCCAGUGACUGAUUGCAGUGACCAGACAUGCUACUGUAACUCUCAUGGUCAUGUGCUGGAAUUAGCAGAUAUUCAACAAUUUGGCCAUCUCGCUGACCUAUUGAUAUCAGAAGACCGCAACAGCUCUGCAAAGCAAGUUGCAAAACAGAAUCCAUGGAACUGGCAGUGACUGGAAACCAAUUGGAAGACUGUGGUCUGUGAUGUAGAGGAGUGGGCAGACGUAGCAGAAGCAAAGACAACAAAAAACAGAAGUGAUAUGGAUGUCUUCAUCAUAUGGCAUGACUCUGCUGACCCAGCAACAAAGAGGAGGGUGUUCAACAUCAUCCUGCUAGUCAGGAUUCUUCAGGAGAAGCAGUGGAUUCUUGUGGCAGAGAUGGCCAACCACUAUAAAUACCUUUCAACUCAUCCUGGUUUUUUCAAAGAACUUUCCUGCUAGUUUGCUACUGAAAAGUACUGAUUCGACAUGUGGCCUAACAAAGAGGGGUUAAAAGGUCUAUGGAUCAUCAUUCUCAAAAAGCAACAAAAUAACUGAGAAAUAAACAACAAUACGAUGGUGCAAUCUAGAGACCUGCAAGGUACCUGCAAGUUUUGGCUGGAGCAGAGAACAUAGAUUUUUUUUAAAUAAAGCUCCAGCUGAUGAGUAUGACAUUGACUGGAUUUUCUUUUACUGUAAUCCAGAAGAGGAUGACCUUAACCCUGAAUCUAAAGCAUGUAAUAAAAUCUGUAAAAAUAAAAUAAAAUUUUCAUCAUCUAUAA